UGAGAUUCCAGCGUCACCGAGCUUCUCCGUACGCUCUCAAGUAUCCGUUCGUGUAGUUGUGCGCGUAAAACUCGCAGUCCAAAACCAGAAAUUGACAGCAUCAGAACCUCAAUUCAGAAGCGUGUCCCAACUUCAAUAUUGGUCGAAAUUAUACGAGAUUGACGCCCAAACGACGGGAAUUUCGUCGGCUUUCCAGACAUGUAAAUACCGUUCAAAACUGGGUUAUGGUUUGACAAAUACAGCUCAAUUACUGGACAUAGGUCUAUACGAAAUUAUGCAGAAUUUCUUACCUUCCAACAAAUCUUUUACUUCCAACUCCUGAGCUUAAUGCUUCCAUCAGCACCCAAGUCCUCUUAAUCCUUCCAAACCUUAACUUAGUUACUUAUCUUUCUAUUGAUUGAAAAUGGUGGAUUCAAGCCUUAAUUCACGCAUGCAUGCUUCAUUUGGAAGAGAAUUAACUUGUCCCACUUACAUGGUGUUUUUAACCUUGACAGAGGAUGAAGAAAGAAUCCGGGCUGAAACUCGUGUCCACCAUGUUCCAACGGUGAUGGGUUGAGAGAAAAUGUGCAUGCAAGACUUGUGGGUUGAAGGAUUUAGGAGAAAUUGAAAAAUGGAGUUUUUGAGUGAUGGAGGGAGUGGUUCGGUUCUGGACAGAUGAGAAGGAAGGAGUCUUGUGAUUUUCUG
rnacentral:lncRNA from 1 species